UACGAAGGGGACUAGCGUUGUUCGGAUUUACUGGGCGUAAAGCGCGCGUAGGCGGAUCGCUAAGUCAGGGGGUGAAAUCCCAGGGCUCAACCCUGGAACUGCCUUUGAUACUGACGAUCUGGAGAUCGGGAGAGGUUGGUGGAAUUCCUAGUGUAGAGGUGAAAAUUCGUAGAUAUUAGGAAGAACACCAGUGGCGAAGGCGGCUCACUGGAUCGGUACUGACGCUGAGGUGCGAAAGCGUGGGGAGCAAACAGG
rnacentral:rRNA from 1 species